rnacentral:rRNA from 1 species
AGCAGCCGCGGUAAUUCCAGCUCCAAUAGCGUAUAUUAAAGUUGCUGCAGUUAAAAAGCUCGUAGUUGAAUUUCGGGAUUGACGUGACGGUCGUGCCUUAAGGGGCGUGAACUGUCGCCGUUGAUUUCUCACCUUCUGGAGAAGCUCGAUGUCCUUAAUUGGAUGUCUUGUGGAACCAGGACCUUUACCUUGAAAAAAUUGAGUGUUUAAAGCAGGCAUUUUGCUCGAAUACAUUAGCAUGGAAUAAUAGAAUAGGACGGCAUGGUUCUAUUUUGUGGUUUCUAGGAUCACCGUAAUGAUUAAUAGGGAUAGUUGGGGGCAUUAGUAUUCAAUUGUCAGAGGUGAAAUUCUUGGAUUUAUUGAAGACUAACUACUGCGAAAGCAUUUGCCAAGGAUGUUUUCAUUAAUCAAGAACGAAAGUUAGGGAUCGAAGAC